rnacentral:rRNA from 1 species
CAGUCGCCGCGGUAAAACGAAGGGUGCGAGCGUUAAUCGGAAUUACUGGGCGUAAAGCGUGCGCAGGCGGUUGUGUAAGACAGGUGUGAAAUCCCCGGGCUUAACCUGGGAACUGCGCUUGUGACUGCACAGCUAGAGUAUGGCAGAGGGGGGUGGAAUUCCACGUGUAGCAGUGAAAUGCGUAGAGAUGUGGAGGAACACCGAUGGCGAAGGCAGCCCCCUGGGCCAAUACUGACGCUCACGCACGAAAGCGUGGGGAGCAAACAGGAUUAGAUACCCGCGUAGUCCCUGUCUCUUAUAC